rnacentral:rRNA from 1 species
GACGAACCGUCCAAACGUUAUUCGGAAUCAUUGGGCUUAAAGGGUGCGUAGGCGGUGCGGUAAGUUGGGUGUGAAAUCCCUCGGCUCAACCGAGGAAUGGCGCCCAAAACUGUCGUACUCGAGGGAGACAGGGGUAAGCGGAACUGAUGGUGGAGCGGUGAAAUGCGUUGAUAUCAUCAGGAACACCAGUGGCGAAAGCGGCUUACUGGGUCUCUUCUGACGCUGAGGCACGAAAGCUAGGGGAGCAAAUGGG